GGGAGGGGAAGGAGGAAGGGGAGGAGAAGAAGAAAGAAGAAAGAAGAUGAAAAGACACUGAAAUAAUCCAUAAACUGAGGAAACAAAAGUUUGGAGCCAGAGGUCCUUUAGGUGGUAUGCUGAAAGAAGGCAUUGUUGUCAUAGGAGAGGACAGCUCCAUGCGUGUUAUUGCCCCUGAAAACCUUCCAGUAGGACAAGAUGUGGAGGUGGAAGACAGUGACAUUGAUGAUCC
rnacentral:lncRNA from 1 species